rnacentral:antisense_RNA from 1 species
CGGCCGCGACGGCCCUGGCUGGCGUCAGUCAGGAAGCUGUUAAUCACCUCCAGCCGGUGCAGGUGCACCACCUGGAAGUUACCCACAUAUACGGCCCAGUGCGGGUACUGAGCCUGCGACACGAACUCCACCAGAUCGCCCGGCUUGCACUUGUUGAGCAGGUUCUCGGGCGUGUAGGUACUCAGCGCCGCCGAGCCCGGCGCGAAGCUCUUCUGGUAGAUGCAUUCGUCCCGGUAGAACACGGAGCAUUCCACCUCGUGCAGCCGCGGAUCGUAGGGCUGCGGCUGGGGCGGCGGCGGCCCGUCCCCACCGUCGGGCAAGCCGCCGCCAUCUGGCCCCUGAGGCGGCGGCUGCGGCUCCACGUCCUCAUCGUCAUUGGAGAAAAUGUAGGAGACCCCAAUGCGGGGCCCGUCGUCCCGGUCCACGCCAGUCGGGUCGGCCGUGGGAACUUCCUUGUAACUUAGGUGGGUCAAUUUCUCCACCUGGUUGCCCAUCACGCUGCGGACACACGUUCACACCGCCGCAAGGGGAGAAAGCG